rnacentral:lncRNA from 1 species
AAUGUUGCUAAUAUUUAACUAUUUCUUAAAUUAUGUUGUAAUUAUAUUUUGAUUUCUUCCUCUUUUAGCAAAGAUACGCUCUAUGUUUGUAAGAAGAUUGAACAUUGUCCAUGCUUGCAAGCCACAAGGUUCUGGGACGGAAGCCACCGUGUGCUUGCUCACAGGCCACCGCUGGCCACCGCGGGCCAACGUGUCGCCGUCAGAGGCCAUUAUGUCACCAUUUGCAAGCCUCCGGAUCACCGUUCGCCGGUCACGGCUUCCCUGCUUCUAGGCCUUUGUUUUAAGUAAGGUGCACCCACACAGGUAAGACUUUCACUUUUUCGAUUAGGGUUUGCAUUUCCACCCUAAUUUUUCUCUUCGUUUUCAAUUUCUCCAAAAGUGCUCAAGAAUAUUUUUGUUACUGUGGAAGUAUCUUUCUUCCACAAGCUUAUGUCACUCUUGAACUUUUAUUCACUCUCUGUCUGCAAUUGACCAUGUGCCUUUUCUGCUUUUUGAAUCCAUUCUCAUGAUAAGUUUGCGUCCUUGCCUGCCUUCUCUCUCGACCGUUGUUUUUAGGUGUCUCUCAGAUUUCAUCUUUUGUAGUGCAAAUUAUUGCGACCCUUUUCAUGAUUUCGGGCAUGUUUUCACUGUUUCUUGAACUUUGCCCGAGUGAUGAAGAAAGAUGCAUACAUGUCAAUUUAAAAGUGACAGAGACCUAUCGUGGUCAUAAAAGAUUGCAAUUUAUGAUAGGUUCUUGAAUGCAAUCAUAAUCAUUGUAGACAUGGAGAUCCAGUAGAUGAGGUCCGUAAUAAAAUAGGAUAAACUCUACUAAAAUUGUUGAUUUUCAGAUCGCAAUAUAUUUCUCAAUUCCUAACUGGAAAUGCAUAAUAUAUUUUAUUUUGGAUUGCAGAGUCUAACUUCAUUUGAAUUAUCGUCUCUGUUUAUUCUCCAGACCAACUAAUGAAUUCCAUGAUUUUUUGGCAGUCUAGUUACAUAUCACUUGCUGAAUCUACUAUAAACAUUGAUAUUGGUCUCUCGGUCAAACUAUAAGGUGAAAGUCAUGGAUGAGAAAUUUAUAUUCUCCACGUGGCCUAAAUUGUUAAUAGCACAAAAAACAUAUACCUUUUUAAAUAUUUAGUUUUAUGUUAUUUGGAAUUUAUUAUGUGAAUUGGUUUUGUUGUGCUUCCCAGUGAAAUUAUUGUUACAAUCAGGUGAUUAUGUUAGGAGUCUUUCUUACCUCAAUAAUCUAUUAUUAGGAAACCGUGGUUAUUGCUUGAAUUUCAUUAUGUGUGGCAUAUGUAUCUGUUCAAUAAUGUCAAAUGGAAAUUCAAUGUUUUCCAAAUGUUUCCUUCUGUAUUGAUUUUUCACCAUUGUAUAUUUGAUGCUAGUUUGAUAUAUUAACAGCUAAAUGCUUUGUUUUUUAACAUGCAACCUCUUCUAGAAAGCACCAAGGAAAGCAACUAUUGAAUUAUUUCGCAACUCCAUAUCUACAAAAUCCUCCAUGACUGUGUCUGAAAGAAUAUUGUUUCAGGCCCCCAUGCUCUUCUCAAAACGGUGUCUGAACCAAUUCUGGGAAGGUUUUGAAGAUAGUCACUAUGUUAACAUUAAUUGUGUUGUUGGUGAUACCAUGCUAAACUCAUUCACUAUCAAGGUACAUUUCUAAUUAGAAUGUAUAAAUUAGUGCCUAAUGAUCUUUUUUUAUUUCUUGGAGUGUAUAACUGUGUUCAGUCCAUAGCUAACAUUCUAGCAUUUAAAAAGAAAUUUGUUUGUUAAGGACAUAAAGCACCGGUUAUGACAUGUAUAACUGUUAGAGGAAAUAAUAGUAUAGCGUUUUAUGAAAGUGUAUAUAUUGUUCUUUCAGUGGCAGCUGGAUCAAAAGGUUGGCAAUUUUCUUUUAUUUGACUUGUUUCUACCCUUAAAUUAGUUUUAAAUUAAGAUUUGGAAUAUAUUUUUUUUUCUAAACAAAGUGAAAGUCUUAUGAUAUUAAAAAAUAAAGUAAAAAUCUAUUCACUAGAAUUUAAGUUAAAAAUAAACCCAAACAUAUGAUGAUUUGAUUAUGUUCUUGAAAUAUUAAAAUUAGAUGAGGUUGUCUCCAUGACUUUCUUAUAAUUUGGUAUAUUUUGGGGGUUGCUCUGUACGUUUCAUACAUACAUCUGUGAGGAAAAAAGUGUUUGUAGAUAUAUAUUAAAAUUGGAAAAAAGACCAUACUAGCUGAAGGCUCUACCAAGACAAUGGCUGAAAUCCCUAUAGGUCUACAUUCACUGUAAUGAAGGUGUGAAUUAGGGAAAUAUAAGAAAAGGAAAAGGUUCAGUAGUAAAUAUCAUAAAGAGAGGUACAUAGAAUUAAUGCAACAAUGGUCGGAGAUUGACUCUCAAAAGAAAAGAUACGACAAAUACAAUUGAAAGUUAUGAAAUCAUGACAAUAGGGUGCUGUAGUUAUUCGGUGACCUAACUUUUAUUGAUCAACUUAUGAGCUAAUAACGGUUGGUGAUUCAAGAUGAUGAUGCAUGUCUUCAUAGUCAACAAACUUUGACAAAAGGUAUUGAUCUUUUGUUUUUUUAGGCGUAUGGUGGAGAAGGAAAUUAAGUAGGGUGGUUGGUUUGUUGGCGAAUUGCUCUCAGUUCUUCUACUUAUUAUAAUGCUGCCUCUCUUUCAUAUUUUUCAAAUUUCUUUGCAAUGUUAGUAUUGGGGUUUCUAUUUUUGUGUGGUUUUGAUUAAGACUUGAUUACUCAACUGAACUUCUCUAGAUCUCAUUCACACAGAAAGAAAAAUGAAAUAGGACAUGCUCCUUUCACCAAGUCAUAAAUUCUAUUUCAGAUAUUUAUAAUAGAGACAUAAAUUAGAUACUGCAACCUCAAUCUCAUACAUGUGGUUCAAAUUCUCUACAUAUGAGCUUAUUCUAAUAGAUUCAUAAGAUUCUAUACGAGUAAAAAAUCUGAUAUCGAUAUGUUAAAUUAUUAAUAUACUAAUACAUGUAAAUAAGUGAUGAAUGUAGUAAUUUAAGAUCUGUUUUCUUUUUUGGGUACGUUAAGGUUUCUUUGUCAAGCAUUAUACAGAUGUUAUGCAUUUGUUUUUUCAUAUAAUAUAGAUACUUUUUCAGAUAAAGUUAGGUAUAAAUAGCGAUGGGGGAAUAGGUGGCUAGUUUGCUUUUUUAGUGCUGUGGCUGAACAACACGAAUGAGACUUUCAUUAUAAAUAUAUUUUUAUUAACCUCUA